CAGCAGCCGCGGUAAUACGAAGGGGGCUAGCGUUGUUCGGAUUUACUGGGCGUGAAGCGCACGUAGGCGGACUUUUAAGUCAGGGGUGAAAUCCCGGGGCUCAACCCCGGAACUGCCUUUGAUACUGGGAGUCUUGAGUUCGAGAGAGGUGAGUGGAAUUGCGAGUGUAGAGGUGAAAUUCGUAGAUAUUCGCAGGAACACCAGUGGCGAAGGCGGCUCACUGGCUCGAUACUGACGCUGAGGUGCGAAAGCGUGGGAAGCAAACAGGAUUAGAUACCCGGGUAGUCCCUGUCUCUUAUAC
rnacentral:rRNA from 1 species